rnacentral:rRNA from 1 species
AGUGAACGCUGGCGGCGUGCUUAACACAUGCAAGUCGAGCGGUAACAGAAAGUAGCUUGCUACUUUGCUGACGAGCGGCGGACGGGUGGGUAAUGCUUGGGAACAUGCCUUGAGGUGGGGGACAACAGUUGGAAACGACUGCUAAUACCGCAUAAUGCCUACGGGCCAAAGAGGGGGACCUUCGGGCCUCUCGCGUCAAGAUAUGCCUAGGUGGGAUUAGCUAGUUGGUGAGGUAAUGGCUCACCAAGGCGACGAUCCCUAGCUGGUCUGAGAGGAUGAUCAGCCACACUGGAACUGAGACACGGUCCAG